rnacentral:rRNA from 1 species
UUCCAGACUCCUACGGGAGGCAGCAGUGGGGAAUAUUGCACAAUGGGGGAAACCCUGAUGCAGCGACGCCGCGUGAGUGAAGAAGUAUUUCGGUAUGUAAAGCUCUAUCAGCAGGGAAGAAAAUGACGGUACCUGACUAAGAAGCUCCGGCUAAAUACGUGCCAGCAGCCGCGGUAAUACGUAUGGAGCAAGCGUUAUCCGGAUUUACUGGGUGUAAAGGGAGCGCAGGCGGUCCGGCAAGUCUGAUGUGAAAGGCGGGGGCUCAACCCCCGGACUGCAUUGGAAACUGUCGGGCUGGAGUGUCGGAGGGGCAGGCGGAAUUCCUAGUGUAGCGGUGAAAUGCGUAGAUAUUAGGAGGAACACCGGUGGCGAAGGCGGCCUGCUGGACGACAACUGGCGCUGAGGCUCGAAAGCGUGGGGAGCAAACAGGAUUAGAUACCCGUGUA